AGUGAACGCUGGCGGCAGGCCUAAUACAUGCAAGUCGAACGGCAGCACAGUGGAGCUUGCUCCAUGGGUGGCGAGUGGCGGACGGGUGAGGAAUACAUGGGAAUCUGCCCAGUCGUGGGGAUAACGUAUGGAAACGUACGCUAAUACCGCAUGCGCCCUUCGGGGAAAGUCGGGGACCGCAAGGCCUGACGCGAUUGGAUGAGCCCAUGUUCGAUUAGCUAGUUGGCGGGGUAACGGCCCACCAAGGCGACGAUCGAUAGCUGGUCUGAGAGGAUGAUCAGCCACACUGGAACUGAGACACGGUCCAGACUCCUACGGGAGGCAGCAGUAGGGAAUAUUGGACAAUGGGCGCAAAGCCUGAUCCAGCCAUGCCGCGUGAGUGAAGAAGGCCCUCGGGUUGUAAAGCUCUUUGUUGGGGAAGAAAAGCAGUUGUUAAAUACCCGAUUGUUCUGACGGU
rnacentral:rRNA from 1 species